AGCCUAUCCUACACGUGUUAGCCGAUGUGCGCGAGCUUGUGGGAAAAUAUUCGGAGAAACGCACCCUAGCCCCCCUUAUAACAGGAAGGGAUGUAGCUGCGGGGACAACAGCAGGAGCGGGCUUUGGAGCCACGGGAGAGGUCUUGAGCGUGAGCACUCCUCUAGAAGUCAGCUGGGCAAACUCCUCAGCGUUCAUCACGGACAUGACGAUGACUUUUAACAGCAAUGCAGACAACGAAGGCACAUAAAUAUGAGGUUCUUGGAUAUCACUCGAGAAACCAAAACAAGCGAAGCAGUUGCGAGAAGAAGAAUAACGCUUCCCACGGCGAAGAACACUGUGGACAGCGGGCUUGCUGGUUCCGAGCUUCGGUCUCGCGCUUCUGACUGUCCCGAGUCUGCAACCAGGAACCCGUGGAUAUUUGUCCCGUUAAAGCUGGUGGAAAUUGAUCGACGUCUUCGCCGAAGCAUUGAAUGUGAGGUUCUCAGUGGCGCGACGCUGUAGAGAACCUGGAGGUACCAUUUGGUUCCAGGAGCGACCUGAGGAGCAAUCAAUCAGUGAAUGUACCAGAAUACACGACUUCAGAAAAUCCCAGAGAGCUUAGCGCCGCUUUGAACUCUGGGAACUUGCUGACAACAAAGGAGGAGAAGGUCUCCAAGCCGUUUCGGUUCCUUCUCUCUAGGUUGAUUGUCCGCGAGCAGUCAAUGUCAGCGAAAACGAAACGUGAAAGACGUAUCAUCCCACUAAAUUCUCAGGAUGCAACGCGUACGCAAGGAGGACUGGUACUUUCUGAACUCGUCUAUUCGUUUUGACUAACUAUAUUUUUUCAUGUCCUAGCUUAUCCUCCACUAAAAGAGCAUUCUCCGAAUUAUUAUUUAACCGCGUUCUGCGCAGGCCACGUGCUCGCGCGUUACAGUUAGGUCUGACGGCGGCCGUACAUUCCCAAAGACGCCAAUGUGUUAGUUAAUAUGUACCGUUGUCGUUUAUUAUUUUCAUUAUUUCAUUCCGGGAUCAAAAGGCAACUUACCAGAUACAGUGGAUCUACAUUCAUGGAAAACCCAUCCAUGCCCGAUGAUUCUCCAAAGUUUUGCGUUCCGAUAUCACCUGCAAACUUCGCGUCGAAUUUUACACCUCGGACGGACUCUUGGACACUUUCUGUGUUGAAACGGUCC